UGGAAAUUUAUAAUCAUGCUCAUUGAGUUACCUAAGUAAAUUGGCUAUUUAAUUAGGAUUUAGGGUCCUAUACUAAAUGGGGUAUUAUGGCUGCCAAACGUGGAAUUGAAAAUUUACCACCAUCAAAUCAUUUCCACCUCCUACCAUUAACUUAUUCUUCAUUAAACUUUUGGGUUUCUAUGUCAUCAUCCGUUUUCCAGCUAUGCCAAUGGUCAUCUGGUACCACAAUAAAUUGCUAAUCAAUUAUUGUAUAUAUAUUGAAGAAUAUUAUCAGCCUGCUGAUGAGCUUAUAUAUGGAGUUAUAAAUUUCCAAUAUGCAUAAUCAUCACCAUUAGAAGAAAUAACAAAGAAAAAUCAUAGAUUUGUCAGAUUGUGAUCCAGAGACGUCUACUAGACUUCAUAUUUAGCGUAAGGCCAGUUACUGACAGAUUUGAGGGUGAGCUCUUAUUCAUGCCAGGACGCCUGAAGAUCUUUCUCAUUUUGGAUGUCUAUUUCUUUUCAGACAUUUAUGUUUAGUUCAAACAGUUUUUCAUUCUUUAGAUAGUUAUGUUUCAGAGUCCUUGUACGAUGACUUUCGGAUUUUGGGGUUGUAAUAGUUAGACUUCCGCAUUUAUUAAUCAUUUAUGGCAUGACUAGACGUUUUAUUA